GACGAACGCUGGCGGCGUGCCUAAUACAUGCCAGUCGAGCGAACAGACGAGGUGCUUGCUCCUCUGACGUUAGCGGCGAACGGGUGAGUAACACGUGGAUAACCUACCUUUAAGACUGGGAUAACUUCGGGAAACCGGAGCUAAUACCGGAUAAUAUAUUGAACCGCAUGGUUCAAUAGUGAAAGAUGCUUUUGCUGUCACUUAUGGAUGGAUCCGCGCCGCAUUAGCUAGUUGGUAGGGUAACGGCGUACAAAGGCAACGAUGCGUAGCCGACCUGAGAGGGGGAUCGGCCACCCUGGAACUGAGACACGGUCCAGACUCCUACGGGAGGCAGCAGUAGGGAAUCUUCCGCAAUGGGCGAAAGCCUGACGGAGCAACGCCGCGUGAGUGAUGAAGGUCUUCGGAUCGUAAAACUCUGUUAUUGGGGAAGAACAAAUGUGUAAGUAACUAUGCACGUCUUGACGGUACCUAAUCAGAAAGCCACGGCUAACUACGUG
rnacentral:rRNA from 1 species